rnacentral:misc_RNA from 1 species
AUAAAUCGUUGAAAAGUUCCCUCGACUAUCUUUCGUCUCCAUCAUCAGACUUUAAUGGCACUUGUAACUCAUAUAGGUGCAAAGUUCUCACCAAUAGAAACGAAUUAAGUUCAAACAGCAGGUAAUUGCUAUAAGUCGUUGAAGAGUACCCUCGACUAUCUUUCGUCUCCAUCAUCAGACAGAAAUGGCACUUAUAAUUCAUAUAUAUGCAAAGUUCUCAACAAUAGAAACGAAUUAAGUUCAAACAGCAGGUAAUUGCUAUAAAUUGUUGAAGAGUUCCCUCGACUAUCUUUCUUCUCCAUCAUCAGAUCGACUCCAGACCUUUAUUAAAUAGUAGUGCUUUAUAGUGCUUAAUGAAAACAUGAUUAAAAUUACUAGUCACCCUUACGAUUUUUGAAAGUUUCCCUCGAUUUCUCUGGGAUCCCAUCAUCAGAUCCUGGUUUACCUAUCAUGGUACCAAACUAUGAAUAUCUCCUUUCCAACAAAAAAAGAAUUAUCAAAAUCGGUUCAUAAACGAAGAAGUUAUCCCCGAACAUACAU